rnacentral:rRNA from 1 species
UACGUAGGGGGCUAGCGUUGUCCGGAAUCAUUGGGCGUAAAGCGCGCGUAGGCGGCCCGGUAAGUCCGCUGUGAAAGUCAAAGGCUCAACCUUUGAAUGUCAGCGGAUACUGCCGGGCUAGAGUCCGGAAGAGGCGAGUGGAAUUCCUGGUGUAGCGGUGGAAUGCGCAGAUAUCAGGAGGAACACCAACGGCGAAAGCACUCUGCUGGGCCGACACUGACACUGAGAGACGAAAGCUAGGGGAGCGAAUGGG